AAAUAGCUUUAGGGCUAGCCUCAAGGUGAGAGAUACGGAGGUAGAGCACUGAAUGUCCUAGGGGGUAUUGCACCUACCGAAGACUAUCAAACUCCGAAUGCCGUCAUCUUAUACUUGGGAGUCAGACUGUGGGUGAUAAGAUUCAUAGUCGAAAGGGCAACAGCCCAGAUCGUCAGCUAAGGUCCCUAAAUGUAAGUUAAGUGGUAAAGGAUGUGGGAUUGCACAGACAACCAGGAUGUUGGCUUAGAAGCAGCCACUCAUUCAAAGAGUGCGUAAUAGCUCACUGGUCGAGUGAUCCUGCGCCGAAGAUUUCCGGGGCUAAAACUUACUACCGAAGCUACGGCAUCAGUAAUGAUGGGUAGGGGAGCUUCCCAUACGGGUUGAAGCAUGACCGUAAGGACAUGUGGACAGUAUGGGAGUGAGAAUGUUGGCAUGAGUAGCGAGAUGUGGGUGGGAAUCCCACAGGCCGUAAACCCAAGGUUUCCAGGGGAAGGUUCGUCCACCCUGGGUUAGUCGGGACCUAAGCUGAGGCCGAAAGGCGUAGGUGAUGGACAACAGGUUGAUAUUCCUGUACUACCGAUAACCGUUUGAGAGAAGGGAUGACACAGUAGGAUAAGCUAAGCACACUGUUGGUUAUGUGUGCCCAAGCAUUGAGGCAGUCAAAGUAGGCAAAUCCGCUUUGAUAAUGCUGGGAUGUGAUGGGGAGCGAAAUUUAGUAGCGAAGUAGCUGAUUUCACACUGUCAAGAAAAGUCUCUAUCGAGGUUAAAGGUACCCGUACCGCAAACCGACACAGGUGGGUGAGGAGAGUAUCCUAAGGCCAGCGAGAGAACUGUUGUUAAGGAACUCGGCAAAAUGACCCCGUAACUUAGGGAUAAGGGGUGCCACCAUCAGGUGGCCGCAGAGAAUAGGCCCAAGCGACUGUUUACCAAAAACAUAGGUUUCUGCUAAGUCGCAAGACGAUGUAUA
rnacentral:rRNA from 1 species